ensembl:lncRNA
GUCACCACCAUUAACUGUGUAUUUUCACCACCGAAGAUCAAGAGCCAGCAUGCCAUGCUCAUAAAAAUCUGCAUCAGUGGAGGUGACCCACUGUUUCACAGGUGCUAUGACAGCAUGAUUACCAGGUAGAAAUCAGAAGGCAUCAAAUCCAGACUGUGCAAUGGGUGUGGUGGGACAGUCCAGCCAAGAUGGGCAAGGUCUUCCAUGGUCUUCAAACUGAUAUGGAGCCUGGUGUUAUAAUAUUGCAGGAGAAAGGCUUUCUUCUUCUCUGGCCUGACUCUGGAAGUUUGAGCCAUCGGCUGACUAAGUUGUGAUGAGUGGUCAGAGUUAAUGGUUUCACUUUCACAGGAACCUGUCACCUUCAGCCUCAUAUUUGUUCAGUAGAUUCCGGCAAACUUGCAAACUUCUUUCUGUUCCUAUGUGAGCAUUUGUGGAACCUGGUACAAACUUUGUGAUAUUCCAAUGUUGCCAUUGUUGUUUCUAAUGCACUGAAGCUGAUAUUCAACUUCAUACGUAGUUCUCUGGUUGUAAUCUGCCAGUUCUCAUGGAUGAGCUCACCAAGACUUUCAUUUUGUGGUGUUACUGCAGUGCAUGGCUGUCCAGAAUGUGGUUUGUCUUUCACAUCACUGUUGCCACUGCUGAAAUGCACUACCCACCACCUCACUGUGCUCACAUUUGCUCUUUGGUCUCCACAAAGGUUCACCAAACAUUGAAGAAUGUCAGUGGGUGCUGUUUUUUCCACACAGAGGAAUUCAGUGACACACCUUUGCUUCAUAUGCACUUCUAUGUCAGAUGCCGUUCUGUCAGACUGCCCCUCUGCUGCCAUCUGUCACGCAGCAACAAAAUGCAAUGGAAUAUUGGUGGGAAGAUUCAACCUCUAUUGCCAUACCACCGACAUCCACCUCUGAUGUUGUGGUUCAACAUAAUAAAACAGGUGACAUUACUUUCAGAGCAACCUUUACAUAAUCAGCCACAGAACACAAAAGCUUGUGAAUAUGCUUCCUUGUGGUAAAAAUAGAAAAUCUUUUCUUAGAAUAGUCACAACCAUAAAUUUGGUCAUUUGAAUGCUCACAAAUAGCCUGAAAUCUGUCUGUUUGUCUAACUACACAAGAAGAUGCAUCACUUCCAAGAACACAUGGAACUACUUGCUGUGUGCAUGUAUGAUAAUUAUUUUCAUGUUAUAUAGUCUGUCUAACAACAGUUUGCACAGUGCCUAUGCAUAUGCCUCUCUUAAAUGACUACAUUAACUCAAUCAAUCCAAAGAUGAAAAAUCUGUUUCCUGAACUAUUCAGAUUGUUUAACCAUUCAUUUUCUUCCUUUUGAUGUGUAGCUGCAUUUCAGUGUUUAUAAGCAUAAUUCAGUGCUGUCACAAUUGAGUUUUCUGUAACUUUUUACUCAGUAGUGCAGUAAAAAGCAUACAGCUUAUGAGAUAACAGUGUUAUGUAAAUAGGUCAUAGAAUGGAAACUGUUCCCUGUUUAGAAGUGUAGUGCCACUGAAGCAGGUAAAAAUGGUUUUCAUCCAAUCUUUGUACUGAAAAUUUAUUUUAUCUCAUUUGACUGAGAUUUCUUUGCUACUCUGCUUCCAUUUAUGAAUAGUCCACUUUUUGCUGUUGAAUAACAGAAUUGCAUUAAUUCGUUAAUCAAAUUCUGUACAUGUAAAACAUUGUUUGAUCUCUAAUCUAAUGUUCUGUUUCAAGGAGUGCCCAAUAGCAGGUAAUCAGUGUAAGAUUAAAAAUAAAAAGGUUCUGUAAUAGAUUGUUUCACGUGACAAUUUCUCAGGAAGAUCAAACAUGCCAGAUGUUAAACAAAUAUCCAUUGAACUGUUUUCCUUUUGAGAACACUUAAAAGAUUAAACUGCAGAAUGUUUUACAUUUCCUGUAAUGUCAUUUGCGAUGUGUAAACUAAUGCUAGAAUCUCAAUUUGAGAUGAAUACCCAGAAGCAAAACUUUAUUGCAGUGUGUUUCAGGUCAUUGAAGGAUGAAAGAGUUAGGAAGACAUGCCUCUAGAAAUACUGUUCAAUACAAGGCAGGCCCUAUCUUGCAGGCUGUUUCCCUCAACCUGACUUGGAAGCAGUUGAGGCAAGUGAAAUAGCAGAGGAGGCAUAUGUUUGUUUCUUAAAAUUACUGCUGUGUGUAGCACUACUCUGUCCUUACCGACUUUUUCCUUUCUGUAGAUCACUUAAAUUUUAUGUAAGGAAGGGGUCUCCACCAUGAACUUUGAGUUGUGAAAAAUACAUAGCAAGACAACACAUUACGUGUUAAUUUUGAAUACACCUAGCGUAAAUAAUUGCACUUUCCUUCUCCACAUAAUGUAAUUCCUCUGUGUUCAUGUUGGAAAACUAGACAGCCACCACAGAUGUAGUGAUGCUCUGUAAUUACUGAGAAAUGUGGAUUUUCCCAGGUACUCAUUUCCCUGAAUUCUAUCACCGUAUGCCUCAUUUGGAGGCUGACUGUAUGGUUGCUUCACAAUAACUGCUAUUCAAAGACAUAAGCAAAGAAAUACACACUUAGCUUGUCAGAAGGCAUUGAAUUUCAUUGUUUUGAUAUGUUUAUUUUAGAAAAGUUGCAGCAUUAAUUGUAUUCAUUUCCUAUUAGUUUCUGGCUUUGACUCACUUCUGUGCUCAGAAUGAUUAAGAAACUUCUGGGAAGAUGUUAACACAUUCUCCUCUUCCCACAUCCCCCAAUUCAAAAUAUACAUAUAUAAGCUAAAAAAAUGCUUCAAAGCCACAAAAAAGGGAAUUUCAGGCUGCUAAAAUUUUUAAAAUAUUACCAAAAAAUACCCAUAGUGUAUCAAAAUAGUUAGGAACUGUUUGUUCAUGAGAACUAAGAGGGUCUCUUUUUUAAAUCCCUCUCACGUUGCCCAGAUGUGGUAGAGCAGGAAGAUGUAUAUUUUAAAAGGAGAAGGGACAGCUAAUCUGAAGGAGCUUAAGAGAUGCAUUGGAAGCAGAGGCUGGUGACGUUUUAGCAGGCAGUGAUGCCUGUGUGGUAGCUAGCCAAGAAGUCUGGUCCUAUGAAUUAUUGAAUGGAAUUUGGGAAUGAACUGAGAUGACACCUGGAACCUAAAGUUGACUAAGCAAGAUACUGAGACAAUGCCAAGAAAGUGGCAGAUAAAGAGCAAAGCAAAUGAAGGUUAGAACUGAGUUGCAGGGAAGAAAUGUCAUUGAUGGGACUGACAAGCCAGGCAUAUAUUGGUUAUAUGUAAUUUGUUAUAUUGUGUUGAGGGAUAUGGUUUAGUGAGAACCAUUGGUGAAGGGCAAAUGGUUGGACUGGAUGAUCCUGUGGGUCUUUUCCAACCUUAGCGAUUCUAUGAUUCUAUAAAUUUCUACUUAUUUUUCAAUCCAGAGAUAGGCUGUUCUUCUCUCCUAAGUAAUUAAUAUAUGUUUGAAGCUGAGAAAAGACUAUAAAGUAUGUGAAUUUUGAGUGAGUAUUCUAGUCAUCAUUUCAGGGAACAGGAGCACUACCCUGUAGAACUGGCAUCUAUGCAGAGCUGGAUAAACUAAGCGAUGGAAUAUGGUUCUGGCCUUUGAAUUCUCAUCUCAGGGAGCUGUCUCAUCCAGAAAGGAAAGAAUCAGACAGACUCCUUUCUUCAGCUUUUCCUAACAAAUUAUUUCCAUUCUGCAUGUUUGGUGGUGUGACACCUGCUCCAAGCUUCCUGUGGCUCCCAUUUGUACAGAAAAUGGUGGCAAAAUGGGGGGCGUAGGAAAGAUUUGGGCCUGACAUAGGCAUUUCAGUGUCAGCAGCAACAUCUCACAUGAGCCUUAGUACUUGGGUGCAAGUUUUACCUGGCAAUUCUUUGGCAGAAUUAGAGACAGAAUCCAUUUGUCCUGGGAAGCAUGUAACUCAGCUAUUGGACUGUCUUUGCUGUCCUCAACCUUUCUGGCUCUUCCCCUGUGCAUCUUUUUCUUGACAAAUAAUGACUCAUGGGGCUUUUCAUAAGACUCUUUUGCCUUUGAAUUCCUUCCACCCAAGAAAAGGAAACAGGACUAUUCUACAGCUAAAAGAUGUGGGAAGAAAAAAUUGUGUUAACUUGUAAGUGAAAUGUUAAUGUAUAGGGCCAUUUAUUACUUUUUAAAAAAAUAGCUUUGUCAUAUGAAUAAUUUUAACCUAUUUUACGCAUGUGAUGUAUAAAGCUUCUUAAUACUUACAUUAUUUUUACACAUUUACAACCUUUUCAACCUAUUCACCUGGAAAAUCUAUGGCAAACAAGUGUAUAGUACACAUGCCCUAUGAGAAUUUCUUCUGAACUAAAUUUCAUUUGGAUAUAAGAAAUUAAUUCUAUAAUAAAAUGACCUGAGAAAAUCAAGUCGUACAGACCAUAGCUCUGACUUUUUUUCUUGGGUCCUCAAAAUCAACUGGUGUAGUAUCUUCAUUAUGUUAUUUCAUUUGAAAAGCACUGAAAAUGCUGUGACAGGCAGAAGGUGAUAGGAUUUUUAGGAAUAUUUUUCCUGACGUUACUUGUAAAUUUUAAUGUCGGUGGGAUCUUAGCAGAAGUAGUUUAGAAGUAGUUGUAGUUUGGCCAGAUUGCAUGCUGCUUGGUCACAAUUUUAUGUUGUUGGAAUGUGUUUUGCCUGUGUAGAAGCGGAUAAUCAGCCUUGCUAACCAUAUGCCUAAAAAAUGUUAUCUAAUAACAGUACAUCCUUGGUUGUACUAAUGGGAUUAAAACUAUCUUGCAUACUUUUCAAGAGGCCUUUAUCCUGUGGAGACAUACACACUAAGGAGGGACAACCCUGCUAGCAGUUGUUAAAUUCACAUACCAUUUGCAACCUUUUCUAAUCAUACUCUUCCUAGGAAGCCCACCACAUUUGCCACAGUUUCCUUGGAAUGAGACCAAGUGUGCUUUAAAUUGAUACAAGCUUAUUUGAGAAAGUCUGUCAAAGCUGUCACCAGAAACCAAAAAUAGUUUCUUCAGACAGAAGGCUUGUUCCUUUCAUGAUUUUUUGCUAAGCAGAUGUGGCUUCAACCACUGUUUGAAUUUGUGUCUCACUUUCAGAGGUCAAGAAUGUUUCAAAACAGUUUUGACAUAAACUCCUCUCUGGUUUUUUCUCGUGGUUACCUUUCAAAAGACAGCCAACCUCUGUUGGUAUUUAAAUGGAAUUAAUCAGAAGAAAGAGGGACCUACGGGCCUUUCUAAAUCUCACCCAUUCCUCUGCUGUGAGAGCAGAGCUGUUGCAGCUGGAUUCCUGCAACUCCGGUGGCAAAGCACCCACCUGGAGUCUGUUCUCAGCUCAGCCACCAGAUCUGGCAGCUGGUCUCACAGCUCUAGACUUCUGUCUUUGCACCUGCAACAAGGCAGUAAAAAUCCUGACUUAAUGCAUAUUCUUAUUUCUAAUAUUGUUAUUUGUUAGUGUACGUAUGGCAGGUUAUUGAUGGCUUAAAGGAGCAUCAGCUGUUGUGACUGAGGUCUUUGGGGUGUUUUGCCAAACUACUGUAACAGCAUUGCGCAUAAAGCAACAAGAUUUUGCAUUUUUUUUGUGUCCUUAUAUGGACAGAUAGGUUGAUGACUUUCUAAUUCAUCAGUCUUGUUCUGUAAGGACAGCCACUGAACUUUUCUUUUUCAAGGAAGGUGGUGAGCAAAAGACAAUAAAAAACCACUAGCUGAUUUUCUUUUAGAUUGUGUUCCAUGCACGAUAGAGUUCAUGCUAUAUCUAAGCAUAGUUGUGUCUGUUUAUAAAUGAAAAUCUCUCAGAAACAUGAGAAAUGAAUUGAAACAUGAGAAAUUGAUUUUGUAAAAAUUAUCAGUCGUGAUUUUGCUUCUGCCCUGUACUGUAACUACUAUAACCUUAAUCCAUAAAUCCAGUCUUCUUUGGGAAAGUCUUAGCUGGUGUUAAUCACGAAAAUUAGAAAACUUGAAGUAUAAAAAGAUAAUGGAUUGCACCUACAAAUGUAUUCUUCAGUUCUAUAUGCAAACAAGCAGCUGCUCACAGAAAACUCUGUGUGAACACUGCAGUUUUAAUUUGUCAUCUUUGUUUUUCAGUGGCAUACCUUUAAUAUCACUUACAUUUCUGUGAAAAAUAUUUUUAUUACUUACCAGAAUUGUUUGCACUAUAAUGGAUUAUCUUUUUCCAUUUAAAAACACUAAAACAUUCUGUCUAUUAUCUCAUUUGUAGUACAACUUGGAAAAUGCAGGAAGGAUAUUGCAGUAUUCUCACGUGUGUCCGUUAUUCAUUUUCCUGCAGAGUAUUGGAAAUCUGUGUCAAAAUCCAUCUCUUUGGCUGACCUUUGGGAAGGCUCCGUUGAUGUGUUCUGGGAGGUUUCUGUCACUCACGGCCUGCUGUCCUUCUGUGUCAGAGGAAACCCAGUGUAAUGAGACAUGCUGCUAAGAAGGUUCUGGAGGAGGCUAGAGCACUCUUACUUGCAAUACCUGAGGAAUGUGCUUUUGUAGAACACUCAAAACGUACUUAUGAUUCUUCGGGCACAUAAGGCUGGACAGUCCAUUCACAGAUGGCCUUGAAGUCUUCAGCUUCUCUUGACUCAUCUGUGGCUGUAUAAAAGUUUGUCAAAGAAUGUGUGCAUAUUAAACAUCUGCCCAGCCUGCAGUGCCUGAGUCAGGCACACUAAUAAGCUUGUGGUUGUCCUUCACAUUCUCUGAGUUUUUACUUAUUAGGCAGAAAAAGUGUUUCAUGGAGAUUCAUAGAAUGGCUCGUGUUGGAAGGGACCUCAAGGAUCAUCAAGCUCCAGUCCCCCUGCCGCAUGCAGGGCCACCAACCUCCAUAUCUAAUACUAGACAUAUAGACUUAUACAUACAGACUACACUAAGUAAUCUAUUAGAGCUUGAGAUAAUGGAAAGUCAUUUGGAAACUGGGAUCAAAUGAGAAAGUUGCACUUGGGCAAUGCAUAAUGUGUACAUGCUAAAGAUUGGUCAAGAUGAAUACUCUCAUCCAGAAGUCCUGUAGAUACAUCUUCACAAUGGGAAGUAUUCCACUGAAGCUACCUGUCCAUAUUAACAUGGCACAGAAUCCACAAAUGCUUCACUCCACUUCUCAGGCAAGCAGUGGAAGAAUUCUUGUAUCUUUCAUCUGUUGCUGCAAAGUGGUGCACAAGUCAAAAUCACAAUUGAAAAGUUAACAGUUGAUCAACCUUACUAUAAGCCUACUGAUACAAGAUCUGCAGAAAGGAAGGACUGGAUUAUUUGGGUGAAGAAAGCAAAAACAUUCAGAUCCUACAUCCAGAAGAAUUGCUGUUAAUGUUUACAGGUUUCAUGUAUGUUCUUUUGCCUGAGCUGUGCUUUGGGGUGCAUUGGCUCUUUUCUCUGGAGUAAAACAUGAAAAAUCUUCCUUUCUUUGGUGAUCUCCAGAGCUUUUUAAAGGUACGGUAGAACAAUAGUACUCUCACAGUAGUUUUAAUGGGACAGAAGUGUUGCUGUGUUGUCUUACAGAUUUUAUCAAAUUGUGCUUAGAAUUCAUUCAUUUUGAUCACUCAUAUUAUAGACAAAAUUCUUCUUGUAGGAUGUUUAUAUGUCCCAGAGCAUUCAUAAUGCACUGUGUUCAGCCAUCUACAAGCAUUUAAUUACAGACCGUCUGUUUCAUGUAAAAAAUAUUUGCCAAGACUCUUUUGGCAGAGUAAGGAGUGAACUUCGUAAAGGAAAACCAAGUUGCUCAUCGGUGGUGGCAGCAAAAAUGGGGAAAAGAACUACCCAAGAGUUUCUUGAAGAUUCCAGUUGAUGGAUCCUGGCCUGAUUGGGUCUCUUAUAUAAACCUUGAUGGAAUGGUGCUAAAUUUUGCAUGGAAACCUUUAUUUUUUUCCCCACUUCAACAACUGUAGCUGAAUGUACAUUUAAAAAUGGUAUUUGAAAAUUAAACUCAUAAGACAUCAUUAUACAAGACAUAAGCACAAACUUAGUACAGAAAGGGAGAAAGCAUCCAGUCUUUGAAAAUAAUGUUUGUGCCUUGUGCUUUUUUAAAACAUAAACAUAGAUUAUCAGCACGCUACUAAAGUGAGGCUGCAUCUCACCUUCCACAGUCUCACAGCAUAAAAAUAGCAUAUUUGAACUUACCAGAAGAUUGAUGUUUCUUUGCUUUCGUAUUACUUUUUCCUUUGUAUUUUAUGAAAAUGUAUGCCUUGCUGUCCAAUGUUGAAAAUAUCCACUGAGGUGAUUUUAAAGUUAAACCUGAAGAUUCAAGUUGGAAGUUACUGAAGGAUGAGUUUGGGUUUUUUCAAAGUGCUAUUAUUUUGACUCCUUGAGGGCUCCACAUGAAUACUUUACCUCUCCUUUUCUUUCUUUGGUUUGAGAUUCAUAACUGCAGCUGCUGUGCAAAGUAAAGUUUCCAUUGAGGACUAGCUGACCAAAUUUGUCAUGCUGAAAGUGAAAGUUGUAUCAGAAAGAGUGGGGUUUCCUUCAGUGCAGCAAGUCUGAGUACUGGAGCAGGUUCUAUUUCAGUCAUCCCUCCACUUCAGCAUAUAUCAACAGAUGGAAUCAGUGCAUCUUUUCUGUUGUACUUCAGCCUCCUACUCACUGACCACAGCAGGGACUAUGUCACGUCAUUGAGCACCAAGAGACACUGGAGAGAGGGAGUCCAACUGCCCACAGAGGCCCUGAGGUGCCUGGAGGAGGGAAACACCCCAGGGUAUCUCAUCUUCCUCCUCCACCCUCCUCCCAAAGCCAAAUGCCCAGAAUGUGCUGAGCUGAACUGAAACCCUGCCCUGUGGCCUUGGGGAGCAGUCAGCUAUGUGGCUGUAGACACCAUAUGCUGAGGGAGCACCACCUUCCUGCUUUCACUGGCAGAAGUGAGUUUCCCUUAAAAACCAGCAAAUUAUGCAGUUUCACACCUGACUCUUCAGUUGAGCAGGUGGAAAUGUCCUUUUCUGGGCCUCAACAGUAAAGGAGCCAAAGGCCAGGGGUCAGCUAUUAAGUUCAGCUGUUCCCUAUUGCAGGUUCAACUCAUGCUCCCUGGCCUGGCUGUGCUCUGAGGCACCUUGAGGCACUUGUGCCUUUGCGGUAUGAGCUCAUUUGUUGUCAUUUCCACUUUGGGGUGGGAAAAAAGGUCAUAAGAAGAGAUCAGUAAAUGUGCAGCAUUCAUAAAGCAAGGCCUCUUCAAAACAGACACGUUGCAGUGUUAUCAUAUCCAGGAAAACAGCAACAGACAGCGUAACUUUAAAAUACCACCCAGAAACUCUUGCUUGGAAAGGACAACUCACAGCAUCAAAGCCUGGACGUACUUGCCAAACCAUGCUUUAACUUACUGCCAAGACACCAGAUUUAUCCCCUUAGUAGCAAUGAUGCGCUAGGCAAGAUGGUGAUUGCUACAGCAAAGUGGGGAUGGGUUUGUUUCACAGUGGUCACGAUGACAGAAGGAGCCCUGCAGAUAUUAAUACUUGAUGAGAAAGGUACAUGAAAUUAGCCUGUGAACUGUUUGUGGAUAAAUAACUCUCAAGCAUACAAUAAGAAUUCAAGCAAAUUAAUUUAACAGCUAGAAGUCAAAUGUAAUGAAAAAAUAUUUAUGAAAAUUUUGUAUGUUUAGGUGAAUAGUUUCAAACCAAAAAUAAAUGAGAAAUAAAUACAGCCUAGUAGAAAUUGGACUGUGUUUAGAUUCUGAUAAUCUGAAAGGGCAUUUUUUAGCAUAAGGAUAAGUUCAGGUGAUUAUUUAAAGAAUAAGAUCAGAAUGGCUGUUCUUGACUUUAAUUUGGAGCCAAAAUAUUCUAUGUAAAGAACUUGUAAAAUCCAUGUCCCCUUUAGUUCUACAGUCAGUAAUUACUCACAGGAUAGAGUAUUCAGAUUUAUGAGGAAGAAGGAGAGAGUGGCAGUAAGUUGUUACUUCUAUUUCCAGCCAAUGUUUGCAAAUUCAAUGGCAAUAACAAACCAAAAACCUGACUUUCUCCCUUCAAACCGCUCUAUAUCUGUGGUCAAAAAUGUAUAGCUAUGUUUUACAUCUUUUUUAGCACAUAAACAUUUAAGGAUACUUACCUCAACCACACGACAAUUUUCUGAGCCUUGCAAGUCUUACAAAUCCCUAAUCACAGUUGGAUGUAUUCAGUAAUGUAGAAUUAAGGAGUAACAGCUGAAAUGCACCUGGGUUAGGUGGCUACUGAGGUUAUAUGGUGUCGAAAUAAUAAGGUGUGGGUCUGGUUAGAGAGGGACCAGGCAUCUGUUCCCACCUCAGCUACAACUUCCCAUACUAGUACUCAUAUUGAGUACUGAGUAUUAUAGUACUGAGGAUUAUAGCACUAGUGAUUGUGCUAUAACAGUGAUUGUGAUUACUGAGGUAAUCUAAACAGAGAACUUUGCUUCUCUGGAAGUGGAGAAUAACUACUGUAUUUUAGUGACAUGCUGAUGGAACCUCAGUUUGGAUGUCCAAAGAUGUAGUUCCUGGCUGAUGCAUAUACAAGUAAAUUGUUACUGACUUAAUUUUGUCUUAAUGGGAUUCUUUUGUUGACAAGGUAAAUUUGUGACUUCUGAGCCGAGAAUUGUCUUUAGCUGGUGACAGCUUUCAUUUAGAGCAAGCAUUAUACUUAUUACCAUGACAGAGGCCCUUAAACAGGAAGAUGGAUAAAUUCUACUAGCAAGGAAUGGUAGCUGGCCUCUUGAUAACAUAUGGCAUAGCAUUGAACAACUUCCUGGAAACCUUAGCAGUGCAGAGGUUUGAAAGAACUGGACUGGCCUGCAGUUCAUAAACAUCAUAGGCUGAAUAAGCUGCUUCUAACUGCAUCAGAAACUUUUGCUCAUAUAUUUAGACUUUGCUUCUAGAACUAAAAGUGCUAAAAAGUGGCAAGACUAAAAAGGCAGCACAGCAAUAAAAAUUCCAUUUUGACUCUGGGGAGAGCCUCAGAGAUGUUGUGGUCAGAAUUUUCUCCAUUAUUUGCAAGUUCUCAAAGAAGAAUUUUCUUCAUUCUGGAUUAGCCUUUUGCAAAAUCUAUUAAGACUUUUAAUUUCAUUUAAAAAUAUUCUUAUGUUUUGAAACUUAGUCUGCAGGAAGUUUAACCAGACCUUAAUUAAGGACUCUGAGUGUGACAGAAGCUUGUGUAUCAACAAGGUGCUUUGCUUGUCUGCCCAAUAAAAAUACAAGGAGUAAUGCCAGUUUGGGGAGUAAGCAGAGCAGAAGCGAAGCAGGGAGGGGGGCACAAAUUAUGAGCUGCUUUGGUCUCCAUUGUCAGGAAGUACUUCACCACUUCCAUUGCCUCACUACAUCUCUUCUAUUAGAAAGCCUUUAUAAAUUACAGGAAUAAGUGGCCCUUAGCAAAUAACUUCAAAACAGAGCAACUAAAUAGGACUGAAGGAGAAUGGGAAACUCCAUUCUGCUACUGCUAAAGCAGAUAGUUCUGAGCUGCUGGCAUUUUUUCCCCCUCUCAGCUCAGGAUGAAAGACAAAAAUGUUAAUUUCCACAAAUUGAAAAUCUGAAAAAUGUGAGCUGAGGUCAGCUGGAACAUUUCGUUUCUAUAAUUUUGUAAUAUCUUUUGACAAUGCUGAUCUGUCUUUAAUCAUUUUAUGCCUAAAUUUGCUAAGAUUUCAAAAUUUUAAGAAGUUCCAGCUUGAAGGAAACAAAAGCUUUCUAACUCAAAAUGUUGAAGAAAGACUAUAUUUUAAUGUUUUCAAAAAAUAAAUAAAUCAAGGAGCAAUAGGAAAUUGAGCCUUUUCUUAGCCAUUAGUCUGAGUCAUAACAGAGAUCGGUAACAAAUGCUGUGUAUUUCAGUAGGAGAGCACUCCAGUGACUAACUUUUUUUCCUAUCCGGUUGACUGCAGUGACAUUUGGGUCAGGCCUACUAAGAUGGUUCUCCUAACUGUGCCAGUGCCAGAAAAAUGCUUGCAUGCUGAUAAGUCAAUGGAACAUCAAAGAGAAAUAUUCAUUUUUGUAGUCAAGAACAAGAUAUUUGAUGGUGGAACUAAUCCCUUGGCAAUAAAAAAUUUCCUUUACAGUCAAUUCUAUGAUUAAGCCAAAGCCACUGCUUUGUUCCUCCACCUGUCCCCGUGAGUCAGCAACGCUUUCCUCUUGCUUUUCCUCCAAGUCAGAUGACAGUGCCUCUCCUGGGCUGCAGACGCACAAGUGUUUUGCCUACAGUUAUGACUUGUUUAGCUUUUGCAGUGUUGGCAGCCUCUCUGAGCUCUGGCACACUUUCUACCAAAUGGGAGAGUCUGGAGGGGGCAGUUUAUUUCUCAUACUGAUCGUGGUUUUGUUACUCUAAAAAUCAGGAGUUUGAAAAUCUCAUCACAACCAUUCGUAAUUUGCUUAGAACUGUAACAAAAAUGCUAAGUUUCAUCCUUAAAAGAGAAGUACUGAAAUGUUUAAGAUUUAAUCCCAUGGGAUUUUAAAAUAUAUAUAAUAGUAAUAGUAUAAUAGACAUCUUUGGGCCAAAUUAGCUCAUUGCAUUUGUCCCUUACCUGCAACUCUGAUGGGCACAAAGACAUGUCCACUUGGUAGUGUUGUACAUGUGAGUUACGCUGUUGUAACAUCUCUCUGAAAAGAGAUUCUUUUUUUGCAAGGACACCUUUGAAAUUCCAUCUCGUCAGUGUGUAAAGUUAUAACAGGAGCAAGAUGUUGUCCUCAAGUACCAGGCUGAGAGAUUAAUUCAAAUUUUGUUGCACUUUUGCUCUGAGUUAAGGUCAAUUGCAUGAAUGAACUUAAUAUUUAGUUUCCAUACAGGCAGAUCUAUAAUUCACUAUAUAUGCUUUAGCAUAUAUCAUAACUACAUUUUGCCUCUGAUUCUCUAUACUGAGGUAAGUAUUUGGUGGCAUUUGCCAGAUGUUCUUUCGAAGCCAAUGUGAAUAUCAACAACAUGAAGUAAGAGGUGCCACCUGUACCAGUGUCAUGCCAGGCCAGGCAGUGUGCUUCCCACCUAAUCACAGAGAGAAAGAAUCUGUGUGACUCAGAGCAGGCAAAGGAAAAUAAAUGUCAGACCUCUGGACUGAGAGCUCAGCUUGCCAGAGAGGAGGGUUGUUGGAGCCAGUGAACUCUCCAUUGCCUUACUUACUGGCUUUCAGGUCAGUGAUUUUUGUCCCCAUGGCAUCCAUCUCCCCCACAGAAACAAAAUUCUGCAUUUCACUGUUACUGCUUUGGUAAUAGCAACUGGACUGACCACUCUGAGGUAUGUUGUUGCUCAUACAGCCAGUAAACAUGGCAGUAAACAGGCCAACACAAAACACAGAAGAGUAUACAUAUCUCUGAGUGUGUUCAUACACAAACUUAAAACUGACUCCUCUCAUGCCAUAAUGAUGAGCAACAUAUUCUGACCAUUCCUUUCCCAUGCAGGCUUAGCCUGGCUGAUCUGUGUACUCAGCACUGAAACCUACACUUUUCCCAGGACCCAUCAGGUCAGACUGCUCAUAAACCAGUGCUUCUUUGAUGGCCCUCAUCCUGCUUUCAAUUGAUGUGGCAGUGCGUGAAUACAUAUGACCGAAAGCUUGAUAUAAAAUUCAUUUGUCUAAACACCACCUAUUUAUGUUUGAUGGCCUGAACAAUUAUUAAUCCUGAUUGGAAAUAUAAGUCAUUGUGUGCACAGUGUCCUGUCACAGCAUCCCUGUUAGCUCCCCUGAGGCCAAAUUCUCUGACAAUGCACACAGUGUCCGGUUCUUUCUGCACACAGCACCAUGCCCUUGCUGAAAUCCCAGGCAGGAAACCUCUUUUUCUGUAUGCUCACCAGUGUGGAUGAUCCCCAGGAAUUUCCCGGGUCUGCCAUUGUAUAUCCCACAAGACAAGAGACAGGCCUUGCACCGCUGUGCCCAACAGUUUCCAUAUUCUCACAUACUGUUCAAAAAUGCCAUAACACAUGCAACCUCAGUGAGCAUUGCAUGUGUCCUUCCUGCCAGGACAUGAGCUCCCACACAGACCUGUGCCUGGGGAGAGCUCUGAAGGAAACAGAGUCUUCUUUAACCCACUGUGAGAGCGGUAAGUACUAGAGCUGCUGCAGGCCUGCUCCUUGGUGGUAUAAUCCCUCUUUGCUUCCCUCUAAUCUCUGAAAUUCUCACUCUUAUUAAAGGACUCUGCUCCUCCUCUGCCAACAAAAUACCAAGUUCAAGGCUUCCAGAUAAGCUACAUCUGCCAAGCAAGCAGUCACAUAUAUGAAACCUAACACAGCAGGACCUACCAAUCGAUGCCUUGCUGGCUGCAUCUAGUAUGCACAUGCACCCGGUGCUCUUUUGUCAGCAGCUGUUCUACACAGCCACCCCCAGCCUCUGCACAGCCCACAGAAAUACAGAUAUUGGCCUGGGCUGUGGCAGUAUUUAUUUGCCUCAUCUGUCACAUCCUCUUUUAUUUUUCUGAUUCUACAAGAAAUGUGUGUCCUUGAUUUGUUAUUGGAAAUCUCUUUCUGAGUGAAUAAGAGGCAGAAGGAGAGAAGAGAGACCACAGAGCACUGUGGAUUAGACACUGUUCAAAGGCACGUUGAGCAGAAUGCAGCACAGACACCCCUGAGAAAAUUGCAUAGAUGAUUUUUGGGUCUUCAGAGUGGAUCAAACCAGGGUAAUCCUCUGUUCCCUCUUGCUCAUUCCAGGAGCAUUGUAGGGAACAACCUACCAGGGGAUUGCAGUAGUGACAAAAUCAACAGACCGAUUUUGAAUGUUCAGUCUUGUAGAAGAAUCGUCAGUUCGAGUAUCUUCAUUUUAACUUCAGUCCGAUGUGCCAUUAUCCAUUAGAUGACAACAUUGCCGUACAUACAAAAAAAUCAAGGCUGUUCUGUUUUCUUUAAUGCUGAAUGAGUUAGAAAUGCAGUGUAAGGCUAUAACUAAUAUUCUAGUGCUGGUAGCUAAAAUUCCUGCAUGUUAAUCCAAAAAGGGCUAUAAUAAACAUUUACCUAGACCACCUACCUGAAAACAAGCACAAACUGAAUGAAGGGGCACUGUACCUCUGGCUAGAUAUUCCUGUAUCACCUCUUUCAAUGAUGCAAAAUUGAGAAUACAUCAGUUCUGUCACCCAGCAAAAGCCACAUGCACUGUCAGUUGAUACUCUUGCAUUUCUUACACAAUGAACUGCAAUGACACUUUUACUUUCUGUACAGUGAAUCAAUACAAGGGUAUAACCUCUUACCAACACAAUUCUAGAGAACUGAGAAACUUACUUUCUAUUCGAAGAGUAGGUUAUAUUUCCCUAAAGUCUGAAUGAAAAUGCAUACAUAUUUCCCGCCCCCCCCAGCGCACUCAUUUACUUAAGUUUUCCCCAAGCAAAACAAAAAUAAUGAAGUAAAUUCCUUAAAGGUAAUACUGAAUCAAUCAGAAACACCAUGUUAAAUGAUUAAUACUAGGUAAAAUAUGUGCAAUCAAUAAGAUUAUUUAAAACUGAAUUUAUAGUGAGGUAGAAGGUUGGUGGGGCUGUUUAUUUUGCUUCCUUUUUUUUUUUUUGUGGCAUUAGUGGAUUUUGCUUUUUUUUUUUUUUAAUUUUCAUUUCAGAAAUGGAAUAGUCUGUUUGGUGAACUUACUCAAUUGCUCCUGAAAAUCAUUUGUCAGUGAAAGGAGUAAUGGGAACAUAAUAGCUAAGCCCUCAAAAGUUCAGCUGGAUUAAAAGCAAUUUGAAAUCUUUUUGGGAACUAAAAUAAAGUUAUUUGCAGAUGGACUUCAUUAGAAAAACUGGUGGCAAGAAUUACUUCACAUCUCUAAAUGUGUCUAGCCAAUAUCCCCUAUGCCUUAAUAUUUUCAGUAUCAGAGAUGAACGCUUUCUUUGUGGUCAUCUGCUUGCUUUAAGGAAAUACCAUACAUUCACAUGCGCAUAUUUACACACAUAUGGAUAAACCAUAUAUAUGUAUGCAUACAUACACACAGUAUUUUUUAAUGUAAGUAGAUGACUGUGUACAUAAAGAGAUUUUCAGAAAUUUGUUUGAGAAUGAGCUACACUUGAUGCUAAGAAACAUACUGGUCCUAAACAUUUUUUAUUUUUUGAAAGCUGCACUUCAGAAAGAUAACAUCUUCUUUUAUACUAUUCUGAUAAUGUAAAUUAAAUAUUGCUAUUGCAAAAGUAUUUUCCUGCUGCGUAUGAAAUGGAUGCACCUUGGAGAACAUAUCUGCCUCCACGUCACUCCAGUACUUCCAGUUAGCUACAGUACCACACACAGGCAGGGAGUUAGGUGUAUAGCUAUCCAGACUGCAUAUAUUAUCUGAUUGGCAUGUCCACUUGCUCCUUUACUGCCAUAAAUGAGUGGCUGUGCAGGUGCCAUUAGCACAUGCAUCUUUUUCUGAAUGCGCCAU